rnacentral:lncRNA from 1 species
UAUAAGAAAGUCUCCUGAAUGGUCUUCAGAGCUUCACAGUGACAGUGAAAGAAGUGAAGUCCACUUCAUUGUGGCAUUACCACAGUUCACAGUAUUUAGUCAUCAUCAUGAAAGAAAGCAAACCAGCACUGUUGAUGGGUCUUCAUGAUGACAGAAAGGAAGCAAACAAGCACUGAUGAUGGGUCUCCACGAUGACAGAAAAAGAUUGUCCUCCUCCCCCUAAGAACCAGGAAAUUCCUGAGGAACAGGAGUGUCAGUAACCUACCUGGGCCUGAAAACCAGAGUGCCCUGUUGUAUGCGUGUUGGAGGGAUCUGUGGAGUGUAGGUAAGAGU